AUGAGCGGUAGCGCGUUCGACGCGUUCAAGUCGCACGUGCCGGCGGCGAGCAGCCCGCGGCUGUACAUCACGCUGGUGCGCGGCCUCCCCGGCACGCGCCGCCUACACCGCCGCACGCUCGAGGCCAUGCGUCUCCGCCGUUGCCACCGCACCGUCGAUCACCUCACCGCGCCCCCCUCCCUCCUCGGCAUUCUCACCCAGUUCAAGCGCCUCGUCGCUGUUGAGACCCAGGAGAUGUACGACGCGCGGAGGAACGCGACGUGCCGCCGCGCGCCCAGGCCGCCGCUGGUCGUAUCGCACCAUCCUCCGAUGCCGACCGCGCAGUAG
rnacentral:rRNA from 1 species